rnacentral:rRNA from 1 species
ACCGUGCGGGGUGCUUACACAUGCAGUCGAACGAUGAAGCUGGAGCUUGCUCCGGUGGAUUAGUGGCGAACGGGUGAGUAACACGUGAGCAAUCUGCCCUUCACUCUGGGAUAACUACGGGAAACUGUAGCUAAUACCGGAUACGAUCCCUAGGGCAUCCCUGGGGAUGGAAAGAAUUUCGGUGAAGGAUGAGCUCGCGGCCUAUCAGCUAGUUGGUGAGGUAAUGGCUCACCAAGGCGACGACGGGUAGCCGGCCUGAGAGGGUGACCGGCCACACUGGAACUGAGACACGGUCCAGACUCCUACGGGAGGCAGCAGUGGGGAAUAUUGCACAAUGGGCGAAAGCCUGAUGCAGCAACGCCGCGUGAGGGAUGAAGGCCUUCGGGUUGUAAACCUCUUUUAGCAGGGAAGAAGGGUAACUGACGGUACCUGCAGAAAAAGCACCGGCUAACUACGUGCCAGCAGCCGCGGUAAUACGUAGGGUGCAAGCGUUGUCCGGAAUUAUUGGGCGUAAAGAGCUCGUAGGCGGUUUGUCGCGUCUGCUGUGAAAAUCCAAUGCUCAACAUUGGACCUGCAGUGGGUACGGGCAGACUAGAGUGCGGUAGGGGAGAACGGGAAUUCCUGGUGUAGCGGUGGAAUGCGCAGAUAUCAGGAGGAACACCGAUGGCGAAGGCACUUCUCUGGGCCGUAAACUGACGCU